GUUUUAUUUCGCAGAAGCAGAACAACUUGAAAGAAGCGCCACUCUCUGCUUCAUUCGCUUGCAGUGGGACUGGGAGAGGAACAGAUUGGUUUCCGAAGAGACAAGGAGUCAAGGGCAAGAAACUGAUGCUGUUUCUAGUACAAUAUUCUGAUAUAAAGCAAGCUUGAUUGAGUUCUUUCCUUGGUGUAAUUGUGUUUGUCAAGGAAGCAAGGUACACUAAGGCAAGAAACCCUUUGAUUUUUCACAAGGCAGGUCUAGCUCUUUCCCUGUGCAAGUUGUUUGCAACAUGCAAUAUUUUUUCUUGUUUACUUGGUUGAAUCCAACCUUUAUUUUCUCUUUCCUUGGCAGGUAAGAAUUUUCGUGUCUGAGUUAUAGCACAUUUUGUUUGAGGAAAAUUAUAUAUCAACUUGCAUUUAAUAGAUGACUAUCAAUGAAGAUUAUCUAGACAUAUGGUUGGCCUCACGUGUGUUUUGGUUUCUGAUUUGUGCACUAAUCUGCAUUUUCUGAAUAGCAAACACAAGGCCUUGCCCAUUUCUUUGUUUCUUGGUUCAUUACAUGUAGCUUAUACUUAUCCUUACUUUGGUCUAUACUGCUCUCUUUUCGUGACUAGCCGCUACACUGCAGAGAACCGUUUCAAUUGUUUUAGAAAGACUAUUUUUGUUGGUUUCAUUAGAGAUCUUGAUUGUUUCAGUUAGGUCUAAAGAAUCUUAUUGAAGCAUCAAUUUUUUGUGUCAAGGCAGAGAAAUAUACUCUAGUUCACAUUAUGGGUAGUUGUCUUUGAUUGAAGCAUCAUCCAUUCCUAAAUAGGGACAUCUUUGUCCACCUAUGAAAUACAGUUGCCAAGUCAAAAUUACUACCACCUGUCAUUCUUUGAAAAUUGGAAGCAUAAGAAGCAAUGUCAUGUAUUUAUAUACUUAUUUAAUACGCAAACAGACAUAUAAACAUAUUUUUGUAAGUACUUGUGUCCACUUUCUGAACUACUUGAUUGAGUGUUAAAAAAACUGUCGUUGUCUGCACAUGAAAAGUUUAUGGAUCUAGUGUACUUGUGCUUUGAGCUUAAUUAACUCCUUGGUUGGCGUUUCACCUCUUGAACUGUAAAGUGUAGAGAUUUUUUAAUGAUCCAAUAUGGGAAGCAUCUUUUUUGGACCUUUUGAAAUUCUACAAGUUUUUAAUCUUAUAGUAAUUCUUAAGUACCUUCGAGAAGUGCCUUGUCUGCCAGUUGGAAAGACUUUGCCAAAAGUGCAUGUAUUCUCUUGCUAGCCUGGAUAAAUAUUAGAGAUUGUUUCUUGACUCUUGGAAAUAUAUAGCCCUUAAGUUAUCUUCAGAGGUACUCUAUAUGAUACAGGCAUCUAACGUUCUUUUAUUAAGUAUAUGUGGCUAGAGGUGGAUGAGUAGACUUUGGUGAAAAAUACACAGUCUUUAUGAUUAUCAAGGUACAUACAGAUUUCUUGGUCAACUGUUUUUCGAUGAUUCUCCAUAAUUUUAACUUUUUAAGAUAUUUCCUUGUCUAAAUUGUAGCUUUUGUUCAUUGUUAGGCUCGUUCCAUAGAUUAGAAUCCCCUUUCAACGAAUAUGUAAAAGCUAAAAUUGAGCAGUUAGUGUUGCACAUAAUAGUGGAACUAAAGCAAUGUAGUCUGCGACUCCAUUUAGUGUUGCUCUGAUAUAAAACUUUGCUUCAUGAGUUCUACAUUAUACUUCCAGUUAAUUCGGACUACAAUGAACAAUUAAAACUAAGCUCGAAACAACCGUUGAAGGCAUGAUGUGUGUAUAAUUAUUAACUGUUGAUUGGAAGAAAGUUUUUCAGGUAAAAAAUCCAUGUCCUGUAUUCAGAUGAUUUGAAAAUUAUGUCCUAUCUUUCAAACCUGUAAAAAGUAACUUACUAAUAUUUCUCCCUUGAGGACAUGUUUGUUGAAGUCAGAAAAUGGGACUGCUAUUGAUGAUAAAUCAUAGAUAGAAGAUAUUAUUGCACGCGAUGCAAUGCAAAUAAAUGAAUAACUAAAGUUGCCUGUUUAUUUUGUACUUCAGCAUGUGUCUUUCUAUGUCUUGUCUUAGAGCAUUUGAUGAGAACUUUCGAGUGAAUCAUAUUUCUGAUCACUAACUUCUAAAGAAAAGCCUUUGGUUAAAACAAAAGAGCAAUUUUCAGAGCAGAAAAACUUGUCUUGCUUGUUUCAAAGAGGUUUUGUGAGCUAACCACAAGACUUAAUGAUUUACAUAAUGGAUUAGAAAACAUGCCCAGCAUAUGAAGUUUCCUGUAAAAAAAAAAAAAAUUUGUUUAUGUAGUUUGCUCUUACAGACAUCCUACUUACCUGUGAAUAUUUCACUUUACCAGUGUGUGUCUAUUACUAUUAUGUUUUGUUCAUAUCUGUCCAAGAAGAUACAGAUCUUUCUUCUUGGUGGUUGUUUCUUUCUUUUUUCAGUAAAGCAUAAUUCACCAGCAUUAAAGAGUAUCUGUUUUCAAGGAAUUCAUUCAUCAAAAUUCAUGAGUAUAAACGAACCGAAAGCUUGUUUAUGAUUUUUUUGUCUUCCAUUAGGAUGGAUAAGGAUGUAGAGGUGUGAUUUUCAUUUCGUUGAUGACAUAUUUAAGUUUGUUGCUGUACUUGAGUGGUUACUUUUCAGAUCUGUCAUGAUGAUUUUAGGAACCAUAGCAUGUUUGAAGACACAAAUCAGCCAGAGACUUUGAACUCCGUGGAAAUAUUUGGGUGCCGUAGGAUCUAAAACGUCCAUCAUACGAUCUUCCUUUGAAAAAUGGAGUCAUGAAGUUAGGGUUUACGAGUCACGACCACUCGUACACCUAAUUUUCUAUAUUUAGAGCUCUUCAUGAUUUCAUGCCUGUUUAUAGAGGGUGGUGGCAAUCAGUAGAUGUAUUAAAUAUUAAAAGUGUCGAGCCAUUUGGAUUGUGGGUGUGGAACGGCAUAUCUUAUCUGAUUUCUUGGAUGGUAGAGGAGGAUCCGAUGUUGAUACACUUAUUUGUCUCAUCCUGAACUUCUCUCAUUAUAUGCUAAUGAAUUCUUUCGUACUGA